rnacentral:rRNA from 1 species
UACGUAGGGUGCAAGCGUUAAUCGGAAUUACUGGGCGUAAAGCGUGCGCAGGCGGUUAUGUAAGACAGUUGUGAAAUCCCCGGGCUCAACCUGGGAACUGCAUCUGUGACUGCAUAGCUAGAGUACGGUAGAGGGGGAUGGAAUUCCGCGUGUAGCAGUGAAAUGCGUAGAUAUGCGGAGGAACACCGAUGGCGAAGGCAAUCCCCUGGACCUGUACUGACGCUCAUGCAC